rnacentral:rRNA from 1 species
CUACGGGGUGCAGCAGUGAGGAAUAUUGCACAAUGGGGGGAACCCUGAUGCAGCAACGCCGCGUGGAGGAUGACGCAUUUCGGUGUGUAAACUCCUUUUAUAUGUCAAGAAAAUGACGGUAGCAUAUGAAUAAGCACCGGCUAACUCCGUGCCAGCAGCCGCGGUAAUACGGAGGGUGCAAGCGUUACUCGGAAUCACUGGGCGUAAAGGACGCGUAGGCGGGUUGGAAAGUCAGGUGUGAAAUCCUACAGCUUAACUGUGGAACUGCACUUGAAACUUCUAAUCUAGAGUAUGGGAGGGGGAGAUGGAAUUAGUGGUGUAGGGGUAAAAUCCGUAGAUAUCACUAGGAAUACCUAAAGCGAAGGCGAUCUCCUGGAACAUUACUGACGCUAGGCGUGAAAGCGUGGGGAGCAAACAGGAUUAGAUACCCCCGUAGUC